UACGUAAGGUCCAAGCGUUAUCCGGAAUCACUGGGCGUAAAGCGUGCGUAGGCGGAUUGUUAAGUGCGACAUUAAAUCCUGUGGCUCAACCAUAUGGCUGUGCCGCAUACUGGCAAUCUAGAGGACAUGAGAGGCAAGUGGAAUUACUGGUGUAGCAGUGAAAUGCGUAGAUAUCAGUAGGAACACCAAUGGCGAAGGCAGCUUGCUGGCAUGUAUCUGACGCUAAGGCACGAAAGCGUGGGGAGCGAACAGG
rnacentral:rRNA from 1 species